GAGAGAUUCGGGCAAUGAGAACAUUUCAAUGGUUUUCAAGUUAGGUAGAGAUUUCAAGCAAUAUCAAAGCAAAAUGCAAUAGUGCAGCUAUAACAUCCAUUUUACUGAAUUGUACAGUCAUACUGUAGCAUGAGCUUAGUCUCUCAAACAAUACGUUUAGCCUCACUGUAGCUCUGGUCCAGGGUCUUAGGACACGUUCAACACGGGACCAGAUCUAGCCUCACUGUAGCUCUGGUCCAGGGUCUUAGGACACGUUCAACACGGGACCAGAUCUAGCCUCACUGUAGCUCUGGUCCAGGGUCUUAGGACACGUUCAACACGGGACCAGAUCUAGCCUCACUGUAGCUCUGGUCCAGGGUCUUAGGACACGUUCAACACGGGACCAGAUCUAGCCUCACUGUAGCUCUGGUCCAGGGUCUUAGGACACGUUCAACACGGGACCAGAUCUAGCCUCACUGCAGACAGAGAAAGACAUUAGAGCAGAUUCUCACAAGCUCCAUGGUGGCC